GGGCCCGCACAAGCGGUGGAGCAUGUGGUUUAAUUCGAUGAUACGCGAGGAACCUUACCAGGGCUUAAAUGCAGUAUGACAGGUUUGGAAACAGACCCUUCUUCGGACAUAUUGCAAGGUGCUGCAUGGUUGUCGUCAGCUCGUGCCGUGAGGUGUCAGGUUAAGUCCUAUAACGAGCGCAACCCCUGUUGUUAGUUACCAGCGAGUCAAGUCGGGCACUCUAACAAGACUGCCGGUGCAAACCGAGAGGAAGGUGGGGAUGACGUCAAAUCAUCACGGCCCUUACGUCCUGGGCUACACACGUGCUACAAUGGCCGGUACAGCGAGCAGCCACUGCGCGAGCAGGAGCGAAUCUACAAAGCCGGUCACAGUUCGGAUUGGAGUCUGCAACUCGACUCCAUG
rnacentral:rRNA from 1 species